rnacentral:misc_RNA from 1 species
GAUGAAGAACGCAGCGAAAUGCGAUACUUGGUGUGAAUUGCAGAAUCCCGUGAACCAUCGAGUUUUUGAACGCAAGUUGCGCCCGAAGCCUUUUGGCCGAGGGCACGUCUGCCUGGGCGUCACGCAUCGCGUCGCCCCCCACAACUCUCCGUAAAGGGAACUUGUGUUUUGGGGGCGGAUAUUGGUCUCCCGUGCUCAUGGCGUGGUUGGCCGAAAUAGGAGUCCCUCCGGUGGACGCACGAACUAGUGGUGGUCGUAAAAACCCUCGUCUUUUGUUUCGUGCCGUUAGUCGCGAGGGAAACUCUUUAAAAACCCAAAUGUGUCGUCUCUUGACGGCGCUUCGACCGCGACCCCAGGUCAGGCGGGACUACCCGCUGAGUUUAAGCAUAUCAAUAAGCGGAGGA